CUACACGAAGCUGGAAUCGCUAGUAAUCGCGGAUCAGAAUGCCGCGGUGAAUACGUUCCCGGGUCUUGUACACACCGCCCGUCACACCAUGGGAGUCGGUAACGCCCGAAGCCAGUGACCCAACCUUAGGGAGGGAGCUGUCGAAGGCGGGACGGAUAACUGGGGUGAAGUCGUAACAAGGUAUC
rnacentral:rRNA from 1 species